rnacentral:lncRNA from 1 species
AUCAGACUUUGCUCCCUAAGAAGGUUGGAAAGGGAAAAGGAGAAAUUGGAUCUGCGUCUCAAGAAUUCUAGGGUUUCUGGGUUCUGUUCUAGCAGAAAUGAAAUGUAGCACUCUGAUGAAGUGAAUGGUUUUGUACUGCACUUAGUUGAAUAUGAAUGGAAAACAUUAUGAAUAUAUACAUGUAGCUUCUAUUAAGCUUUUAUUGUUCAUUCGCUUUAAUCUGUAAUCUGUGGUUGUUGAUACUUGA